rnacentral:rRNA from 1 species
GAUGAACGCUGGCGGCGUGCCUAAUACAUGCAAGUCGAGCGAACGGACGAGGAGCUUGCUCCUCUGAUGUUAGCGGCGGACGGGUGAGUAACACGUGGAUAACCUACCUAUAAGACUGGGAUAACUUCGGGAAACCGGAGCUAAUACCGGAUAAUAUUUUGAACCGCAUGGUUCAAUAGUGAAAGACGGUUUUGCUGUCACUUAUAGAUGGAUCCGCGCUGCAUUAGCUAGUUGGUAAGGUAACGGCUUACCAAGGCAACGAUGCGUAGCCGACCUGAGAGGGUGAUCGGCCACACUGGAACUGAGACACGGUCCAGACUCCUACGGGAGGCAGCAGUAGGGAAUCUUCCGCAAUGGGCGAAAGCCUGACGGAGCAACGCCGCGUGAGUGAUGAAGGUCUUCGGAUCGUAAAACUCUGUUAUUAGGGAAGAACAAAUGUGUAAGUAACUAUGCACGUCUUGACGGUACCUAAUCAGAAAGCCACGGCUAACUACGUG